rnacentral:lncRNA from 1 species
UACUUUUAGCAAGGAAUUGUUUAGAUGAAUAAAAAAAAACAACUUUGUGAUUAUUUAAAAAAAUAAUAAUUUAUUAACGAAUUAUUACAGGACGUACAUACUACAACAUAUAAUUAUAAAAAAGAUACUUUUCGUGCUUUUGGAUUUGCAAAAUCUUGAUAAUAUCACUUACUUCAAUUUUUAUUUCAUGCUCAAUACUUACUAGUGAUAAAUUUGUCAAUCCACUUUGCGACAAUGUUGAUCUUAGAUAAUUUUUAAUUAUUUUUAAUUUAGAAAAUGAUCUUUCACUGUGCGCUACUGUCACUGGCAAUGUGAGGAAAAUUCUAAGAGCAGUGAACAAAUUUGGGAAGACUGAAAGUACAGUAAAACCUCCGUUAACCGAAACCUUUUUGACCGAAACAUCGUUUAACCGAAAUGGAUGACAGUUCAAUAAUUUCAUCAAUAAAAAGUAAAUUUAAAAACUGCAAUAAAAUUAAGGAAAAUGAACAUGUUUAUGAGUGUUUUUUUAAAGAAAUAUUCUAUUAUCUUUUGUGUUUUUCUUUGACAACGAUGUUUUACAGCUCUAUCUCUACAAUACUAUGUAAUUUGAUACAAGAAGAAUACAAACAACAAUGUUAUUUUUAAGCGAAAUUCUUGUUAUCCGAAACGGCCUUCCCCAAUUAUUUCAGUUAACGAAGGUUUUACUGUAAAUUGUUUGUAUUCAAGUACCUACUUUAAAAUAUCCAAAGGUGUAGUAGAAUCAUCAAUAAACAUUGGUAAUAAUUAUAUUUCAUUAAAGAGCUCAAACCUAUCUACUUAUGAGGAGCCAACAUCACAAUUUAUUUUCUAAAUUAAAACAAUAUGCUCUUUUUGUAUCUAACUCUGAAUCCUUCCAGUGUUUUAAUUUUUGAAGGAACGAAAAAUGUUGAUUCAAACGAAUCAAAAGAUUGCCGGUCCUCCGUUGGACGGACAGUCGGGCGGGCGGCAAUCUAUAAAUCGCGCUUAAGUACCAAUGUAAUUUUUCAUUAAUCGUUUUAAAGCAUAUUUUAUGUUGAAACAAAGUAAAGGACCCGCUCUUUGGCGCUCGGCGCCCCCAACGUCCCGGCGCCCGUGUGCACCGCACACCCUGCACAAUAGGUAAAGCCGCCUCUGUACCUCAAGUAAGUUGUCAUUCCAUCGUUUUCUUGGUCUCCCCACUGAUCGUCUUCCUAUUGAGGAACCGUUACUCACCAUCUUUACUACAGCUCCCGGAACGAACCAUGGCCGGUGACAAACGCUGUUGUCGGUCGUAUACUCACCUAAUCUUAACGCAGCCAGGGUUUCUCUCACCGGUCAUGGCUCGUUCCGGGAGUUGAACUCUAUUUGUUCGCAUUCGGCUUAUAUGAUCGUUCCGUUCCAGUCUUAUAUUUCUUGCCCAGCCCUUGAUGUUGUCACUCGAGUCUAGAUCCCGAGCCGAGGAUUAGCGGCGUGUAAUUUGUGUUGCCUAUAUAAACUUGAAUCGCGAAUGUUUAUUAUUCAAAAAAUUACAACUGUACAAAUCAAUGACAUUUGUGUGCAUUUUUUUGGCAUGAAAGUUUAAACUUGGCUUAUGUCUAAAUUUAUAGACGUUGCCUUUAAGCACUUUUAAAGGGGCAAUUGCAUCCAAUUUGUCGGGAUGCGAACUUUUUACAUGUCUUUUUAAAUCAUGUUUACGUUUAUACACGUUUCCGCAUUCCAAGCACUUAUUAAUUAUUUCCACACCGAACAUUUUCGUUGUCAAGAAAAUGAAAUACCUACUCAAAAGCAAACACAAACACAGAACUGUGAACAGUAGAAAUGAUUGAAUCGGAAAAUUGAUCUAACAGCUUCACUGUUCAAUUGAUAAUUAUACAAAGAGUCUACAUUCUACCACAUCAAAUACUAUUUUAAUAUUAAAUAUCAUGCAACCGCAGUAAAUAUCGGUUUUUGCCUGAAAGGAGGAAGACCUAACCCUUCGGUCCAAACCUAACUUACGGGUAUUAGAGUGAGAGAACCGCAGGGCAGGAGGUAUUUGACCGCUGCGCGCAAUCACAACCCACCCUUUUUAUUAUCACUAAACGGUCUUUUCAGCGUUUUAAAUAACACUCAAGGCCCAUUUCGUUGAUUCAAGUUUAUAUAGGCAACCCAAAUUACACGCCGCUAAUCCUCGGCUCGGGAUUUAGACAGAAUAGAUGUUGUCAACCUUGCAUGUCCGUCGUAUAUCUUACCCAAGGUUCAUAGAUAGGGGUUUGGUUAUCUCAUAACUAUGUGGGCGGAAGCGAGAGGGAGGGGAAUGCCUACGUCACUCGUACGACAAAGUCAAGUUUGACAGUUGUAUGUGGUUAUAUUUCCGCAUAUUUUUGUGGAAUUUUCUUAUAAUAUCGUUUAUUUGUUUAAUAUUUGUUGAGUUUUUAAGCAUAUAAGGACUAUAUUACUAUAAUUACUUAUUUGGGUUCUAUACAAAGGCAGUAAUGACUUGUGAAGUGUGUUUUCGUAACCGUGUAAGAUGAGUGGUGGUAACAUUUGUAGCAUAGCUAUAUGUAAAAGCAACUCCAAAAUUCCUGAACCAGAUCGAAACAAAAUAAUGUUUUUGGACAUUUCCCAAAUACCUUAAAUUAUCAAACAAUAAUGGAUAAUAAAAUGUUACAAGAUAAAUGGGCCUCUAAACAUAAGAAAAUAGGUAGCAAACAUUUCCUCGUGUCUGAAUAUGUUAAUAUUAUGUUACGUCUUUUUUAUAUUUUAACCUAAUAAUAAAUUAUUUAUAUUA